UGAUGUUGUACUGGACAAAACAUCGUAAAAUUCAAUUAAAUAUUGCCGAAGAUCACCUGCCACACAUGCAAAAGAACUCUGAGUUGGAAGCAAGGGACAGUGCACUAGUUAUGGAAGCAGAUAGCUCUAGUGAACUUGUUGAAACAGAAACAUACAGGACAGCUAUGAUGAUAGUAGCAAGAAGCUAAGGAGAGCAGAGGACAGACACCUCUGAUGCCCAGACAGAUGAAGCGGACGGUGAAAAAAGUAGAAAGGGAUCAAGGAAUGUCACUUUCAAGGCCAAAGAUAAAUAGGAGGUUAAGAAGAGCACCAAGUCCACCUCCAACCCCAGAA